rnacentral:rRNA from 2 species
AGACCCGAAACCCGGUGAUCUAGCCAUGGGCAGGUUGAAGGUUGGGUAACACUAACUGGAGGACCGAACCGACUAAUGUUGAAAAAUUAGCGGAUGACCUGUGGCUGGGGGUGAAAGGCCAAUCAAACCGGGAGAUAGCUGGUUCUCCCCGAAAGCUAUUUAGGUAGCGCCUCGUGAAUUCAUCUCCGGGGGUAGAGCACUGUUUCGGCUAGGGGGCCAUCCCGGCUUACCAACCCGAUGCAAACUGCGAAUACCGGAGAAUGUUAUCACGGGAGACACACGGCGGGUGCUAACGUCCGUCGUGAAGAGGGAAACAACCCAGACCGCCAGCUAAGGUCCCAAAGUCAUGGUUAAGUGGGAAACGAUGUGGGAAGGCCCAGACAGCCAGGAUGUUGGCUUAGAAGCAGCCAUCAUUUAAAGAAAGCGUAAUAGCUCACUGGUCGAGUCGGCCUGCGCGGAAGAUGUAACGGGGCUAAACCAUGCACCGAAGCUGCGGCAGCGAACGUAUCACCCAAGACAACUUUACGGAGUUGACGAUUGACGGAGCGAAGCGACGUCAAAGCGUUCAUUAAAGUCGAGUUGGCUUAGGGAUACGUUCGUUGGGUAGGGGAGCGUUCUGUAAGCCUGUGAAGGUGGCCUGUGAGGGUUGCUGGAGGUAUCAGAAGUGCGAAUGCUGACAUAAGUAACGAUAAAGCGGGUGAAAAGCCCGCUCGCCGGAAGACCAAGGGUUCCUGUCCAACGUUAAUCGGGGCAGGGUGAGUCGACCCCUAAGGCGAGGCCGAAAGGCGUAGUCGAUGGGAAACGGGUUAAUAUUCCCGUACUUGGUGUUACUGCGAAGGGGGGACGGAGAAGGCUAUGUUGGCCGGGCGACGGUU